CCUACGGGAGGCAGCAGUGAGGAAUAUUGGUCAAUGGGCGAGAGCCUGAACCAGCCAAGUCGCGUGAAGGAUGACGGCCCUACGGGUUGUAAACUUCUUUUGUCAGGGAGCAAUUGGGUCCACGCGUGGGCUUAGCGAGAGUACCUGAAGAAAAAGCAUCGGCUAACUCCGUGCCAGCAGCCGCGGUAAUACGGGGGAUGCGAGCGUUAUCCGGAUUUAUUGGGUUUAAAGGGUGCGUAGGCGGAAUAUCAAGUCAGCGGUAAAAAUUCGGGGCUCAACCCCGUCGUGCCGUUGAGACUGAUGUUCUUGAGUGGGCGAGAAGUAUGCGGAAUGCGUGGUGUAGCGGUGAAAUGCAUAGAUAUCACGCAGAACUCCGAUUGCGAAGGCAGCAUACCGGCGCCCAACUGACGCUGAAGCACGAAAGCGUGGGGAUCGAACAGGAUUAGAUACCCCAGUAGUC
rnacentral:rRNA from 1 species